GACGAACGCUGGCGGCGUGCUUAACACAUGCAAGUCGAGCGGAGCGGCGCACGGGUGAGUAACGCGUGAGUAACCGCCCCCCUCUCUGGGAUAACAGUUGGAAACGGCUGCUAAUACCGGACAGUGGGGGCUGACUCGCGUCCUAUCAGUUUGUUGGUGGGGUAGUGGCCUACCAAGGCGACGACGGGUAGCCGGCCUGAGAGGGCGACCGGCCCAAUUGGGCUGAGGUACGGCCCAAUCGCCUACGUUGGGCAGCAGGGGGGAAUAUUGCACAAUGGGGGAAACCGUGAUGCAGCAACGCGCGUGCGGGAUGACGGCCUUCGGGUUGUAAACCGCUUUCAGCCAUGACGCGGUAGUGGCAGAAGAAGCACCGGCUAACUACGUGCCAGCAGCCGCGGUAAUAC
rnacentral:rRNA from 1 species